CUCCCAUUUAAGAUACCCCAUGUCACAAAAUCAUCUAGUAUCAUGCAGAAAAAAUGUCUAAAGAACCAAAACAGAUUCAAUGCAGUGACGGCAGAAAGUGUAUGGGCAUGAAGAUUCAAAGAAAAAGAUGCGGCCGUUGAAAGAUUUAUAUGCUCCUUUGCUCCAGGUACCUGAACCACUAAGGCCAGUUUCACCAAAUUCAUUUAGUCCAGAAGCACCAACACCAAGUUCAUCUGCACUCUUACCUCCUCCACCACUUCCAGAAUCAGAAGACCAAGUGUUUCCUCCUAAUGGAAAUCAAAAUGAGAAAUCUCUUGAGACCUCACUCAGAGUGCACAUCCUUACCACAGUACAAGGCUAAUGAGCUUGGAUCGAUGGUGUUCUCAGCCCAGUGGACUGAAAACAAUAGAUUGAAGAUUUGUGGCAACCCUGUGACUACCAACUCUAUUGAAACCAUUUCUCCAAUAGCAUGAGCUCACUUCAGAAUGAAUGAAUGAGAAUUUAUCCUUGAAGAGGCCCUACAAAGAUUCAUUGAUCUGAGGAGAAGUAAAGAGAUAGAGCCACAGUUGAGGUAAUACCAGGAGCAGGGCUGGUAGGCCUGAAUAAAUGGUUGACUUAUUUUAUAAAUGUCUCAGCUAGAUCUGU
rnacentral:lncRNA from 1 species